rnacentral:rRNA from 1 species
GAUGAACGCUGGCGGCGUGCCUAAUACAUGCAAGUCGAGCGAACGGACGAGAAGCUUGCUUUUCUGAUGUUAGCGGCGGACGGGUGAGUAACACGUGGAUAACCUGCCUAUAAGACUGGGAUAACUUCGGGAAACCGGAGCUAAUACCGGAUAAUAUUUUGAACCGCAUGGUUCAAAAGUGAAAGACGGUCUUGCUGUCACUUAUAGAUGGAUCCGCGCUGCAUUAGCUAGUUGGUAAGGUAACGGCUUACCAAGGCAACGAUGCAUAGCCGACCUGAGAGGGUGAUCGGCCACACUGGAACUGAGACACGGUCCAGACUCCUACGGGAGGCAGCAGUAGGGAAUCUUCCGCAAUGGGCGAAAGCCUGACGGAGCAACGCCGCGUGAGUGAUGAAGGUCUUCGGAUCGUAAAACUCUGUCAUUAGGGAAGAACAUAUGUGUAAGUAACUGUGCACAUCUUGACGGUACCUAAUCAGAAAGCCACGGCUAACUACGUG